CCUACGGGAGGCUGCAGUGGGGGAUAUUGCACAAUGGGGGAAACCCUGAUGCAGCGACGCCGCGUGGGUGAAGAAGCGCCUCGGCGCGUAAAGCCCUGUCAGCAGGGAAGAAAAUGACGGUACCUGAAGAAGAAGCCCCGGCUAACUACGUGCCAGCAGCCGCGGUAAUACGUAGGGGGCAAGCGUUAUCCGGAUUUACUGGGUGUAAAGGGGGCGCAGACGGCGAUGCAAGCCAGAUGUGAAAGCCCGGGGCCCAACCCCGGGACUGCUGUUGGAACUGGGUGGCUAGAGUGCAGGAGGGGCAGGCGGAAUUCCUGGUGUAGCGGUGAAAUGCGUAGAGAUCAGGAGGAACACCGGUGGCGAAGGCGGCCUGCUGGACUGCAACUGACGUUGAGGCCCGAAAGCGUGGGGAGCAAACAGGAUUAGAUACCCCAGUAGUC
rnacentral:rRNA from 1 species